CUCCUUGGGAGCAUUGGGAGUGAGUUCUGCCCUUUGGAAUGGGGUCUGUCAGCAGAAGGAGCAGCAACUGCACCUGGAGAUUGCUUCCUUUAGAGCGUGGGGUGAACCCUUGAAACUGGGACUGUGACCUUUCCUGUUUUUGGGGCAUCCUGACCACAUUGAAGUGCUGGCAGAUGUAAGGGCAGCAUUGAUCUCUGGAGACUGUCUCCUGUGGAGCAUGGGGCUGUUAUGCACUGCUUCCAACCAUGCAGAGUUGUUUAAGGGCGUUCUGUGCACCCUUAGGUGUAAUAAAUCUUCGUCUUUAUAGAAAGCCAAGGAUUGUCCUCUUCUGGACUGCUGUACUCAGCAUCACCCCAGCGUGAUGAAGUAAAGCCCCUGCUCUGCUGAAUACUAGGACUGGCCCAGAGACGCUCUGAUGGAUGUGGAUUACCCUAGCCAGAGUACUUGGUACCAUUGGUGGUGAUCUUGUCCAACUGCCACACAACGAACAGGAACAUCCACAGCCAGAUCAGGCUGCCCAGAGGCUGACCCAGCCUCACCUUGGAAGGGACAGGGCAUCCAUCACAUGUCUGGGUGUUGAAAGGCUGUUACCAGAUCACCUCGGAGCCUUCACUUCUGCAGGCUGAGCAGCUCCAGCUCUCUCUCUUUAUAGGAAAGGCGUUCCAUCCCUCAGUUCAUAUUUGUGGCCAUUCUCUGGAUGUUCUCCAACAGCUCCACGUCUGUCCUGCGCUGCGGACAUCCACAUCCAGAUGCAGCACCUCCAGGUGAGGCCUCACAGCGUAGAGCAGCGUAGGGCAGGACCAGCUCCCUUCGCCUGCUGACCACACAUCUUUGGAUGGAGCCCAGCGUACGGUUGGCUUUCUGGGCCAGGAAGGUACAUCGCUGAGUGCCACUACUCAGCCUGUUGAGGUCCCUCUGGAUGGCGUUGUUCCUCUAGUGUGUCACUGCACCCCACA